AGUUGUUGCGGUUAAAAAGCUCGUCGUUGGAUUUCUGUUGAGGUCGAACAGUGCCGCCCUAUGGGUGCGCAACUGGCUCGGCUUCGGCAUCUUCUUGGAGAGCGUAUCUGCACUUAACUGUGUGGAUCGUACUUCAAGUCAGUUACUUUGAGGAAUUGUGAGUGUUUCAAGCAGGCUUACGCCGUUGAAUCCGUUAGCAUGGAAUAAUAGAAUAGGACCUCGGUUCUAUUUUGUUGGUUUUGAGAGCUGGGGCAGCGAUUGAUAGGGACGGAUGGGGGCGUCCGAACUUUACUGUCAGAGGUGAAAUUCUUAGAUCGGUCAAAGGCGAACUACUGCGAACGCAUUCGCCAAGAAUGUUUUCUUUAAUCAAGAACGAAAGUUAGGGGAUCGAAGACGAUCAGAUACCGUCCUAGUCUUAACCAUAAACGUUACUGACUAGAGAUUGGAGGUUGUGAUUCACAAACUCCAUCAGCACCUCUAUGUGUAAACAAAGUCUUUGAGUUCUGGGGGGAGUAUGGUCGCAAGACUGAAACUUAAAGGAAUUGACGGAAGGGCACCACCAGGAGUGGAACCUGCGGCUUAAUUUGACUCAACACGGGGAAACUUACCAGAUCAAGACAUAGUAAGGAUUGACAGAUUGAGAGUUCUCUCUCGAUUCUAUGGGUGGUGGUGCAUGGCCGUUCUUAGUUGGUGGAGUGAUUUGUCUGGUUAAUUUCGUUAACGAACGAGACCUUAACUUGUUGAAUAGUGAAUCGUAACCUCGGUUACGUUGGAAUCUUCUUAGAGGGACUUUGUGUGAUCAACGCAAGGAAGUUUGAGGCGAUAACAGGUCUGUGAUGCCCUUAGAUGUUCUGGGAUGCACGCGCGUUACACUGAUUC
rnacentral:rRNA from 1 species